rnacentral:rRNA from 1 species
AACGAACGCUGGCGGCAUGCCUAACACAUGCAAGUCGAACGAAGCCUUCGGGCUUAGUGGCGCACGGGUGCGUAACGCGUGGGAAUCUGCCCUCAGGUACGGAAUAACUCAGGGAAACUUGAGCUAAUACCGUAUAAUGACUUCGGUCCAAAGAUUUAUCGCCUGAGGAUGAGCCCGCGUCGGAUUAGCUAGUUGGUGAGGUAAAAGCUCACCAAGGCGACGAUCCGUAGCUGGUCUGAGAGGAUGAUCAGCCACACUGGGACUGAGACACGGCCCAGACUCCUACGGGAGGCAGCAGUGGGGAAUAUUGGACAAUGGGCGAAAGCCUGAUCCAGCAAUGCCGCGUGAGUGAUGAAGGCCUUAGGGUUGUAAAGCUCUUUUACCCGGGAUGAUAAUGACAGUACCGGG